rnacentral:lncRNA from 1 species
AUGCAUAAAUCAAUUAUUAGGAAAGAUGCUUACCUGAAGCGAACCUUAUUGUCGUCUGGGUUCGGGUGUCCUCUCUGCCCCAAUUUCAAGACAGAAAGUGAUGAAGUGAUCCAGAGGCACUUGAGCAACCACAGUGCAAAUGCUGUUAUUUUCCAGGACAAAUUCUGCAUCUGCCGGUGCAAAUUGUUCUGUCAUUUUGAAGGCCACUUCCAUUGUCCUUUUUGUGGUGGGACAGUAACUAAAAAGAAAGAUAUGACAUUCCAUCUUACCACUUGUCCAAACAAAAGUAACGUGAUCCAACCCACACUGGAGAAUUCUUCUGCAGACCACUCCUACCGGCAAGCAGCAUCACCAAAGACCCUGACACCUGCCACGGAUUUUGAUCAGACAACUGCUACCACCUCAGAAAAACCCACAAUUCAAGAGAGAGAAGUAAUUCUGCCACUGACCAAGGCUGAAAGUGAUGAAGUGAUCCAGAAACUCUUGAGAAACCACAAUGCAAAUGCAGUUCAUUUCCAGGACUUGUCUAGUAGAGUUGGAGGCCACUUCCAUCCUUCUUUUUGUGACAGUACAAUAACUACCAAGGACUUGAUGUUCCAUCUUACCACGUGUCCAGAUAAAAGUAAUGUGAUCCAACCCACACUGGUGGAAUCUUACAAAUUCUGCGUCUGCAGGUGCAACUCAUCUGCAGACCACUUCCAUUGUCCUUUUUGUGACGACACAAUCAUUCGUAAGGAAGAUAUGAUAUUACAUCUGAAUGUGUGUCCAAAUAAAAAUAAGUCAACCCAAUCCACAUUGGUGGAAUCUGCAGACCACUCUUAUGCAAAAGCAGCUUUACCCAAGACCCCCACACCUGUCACAGAUUUUGAUCAGACAACUCCUGCUACUACCUCAGACCAACUCAUGAUUCAGGAGGAGGAAGUGACUGUGCCACUGACCAACGUGCAUGAAUCAGUUAUUAGGAAUGAUACGGACCUGAAGCAAAGCCUGCUAACAUCUGGGUUUGAGUGUCCUCUCUGCCCCGAUUUCAAGACUCAAAGUGAUCGAGUGAUCCAGACGCAUUUGAGCAACCACAUUGCAAAUGGAGUGCAUUUCCAGGAAAACGUAGUCUGCAGGUGCAAUUUGCCUUGUAGAGCUGGAGGCCACUUUCAUUGUCUUUUUUGUGACAAGACACUAAUUAACAAGGACAGUAUGGCAUUACAUCUGAUCAGAUGUCAAAACAAAAGUACAGUGGUCCAAUUCCCACUGGUGGAAGCUUCACCAGAGCCUUUCACGCAGCCUUUAAUAGAUCCUCUGGAACCAUCAGGGAGUGAAGACCACUCGGUGUCCUCACAAACUGCAGAUCAUGCCUACACACAAACUCCCACACUCAUCACAGCUUUAAAUCAGACAACUCCUGCUACCACCUCAGACGCACUCAUGAUUCAAGAGGAGGAAAUAACUCUACCAUUGUCCAAGGCUGAAAGUGAUGAAGUGAUCCAGAAGGUCUUGAGAAACCACAAUGCAAAUGCAGUUCCAUUCCAGGACUUGUCUAGUAGAGUUGGAGGCCACUUCCAUCGUCCUUUUUGUGACAGUACAAUACCUACCAAGGACGUGAUGUUCCAUCUUACCACGUGUCCAGAUAAGAGUAAUGUGAUCCAACCCACACUGGUGGAAUCUUCUGGAGACCAUUCCUACACAAAAACAGCUUCAUGCAAGACCCCCACACCUGCCACAGAUUUUGAUCAGACAACUCCUGCUACUACCUCAGACCAACUCAUGAUUCAGGAGGAGGAAGUGACUGUGCCACUGACCAACGUAAAGUCACUUCCCCUUCAUUCUUUACAAGAGAAAGCAUGUCCAACUUCAAGACAUUACAGCAAUAUAGAGGAGGGAUUGAAUCGAGAUGUUUUAGCAUGUUUAAUGAAUAUCUGGACACAGGAUGAGCGCUGUAGUUCCUCCUACUAUAUUGGACCGUUAGGUAAAGGAUUGUCAGUUUUUAUUACAAACCCAUGUUCACCAAGUGAUCUGGUUUCUUCUGGUUCAGGUGCAUAA